UCGUAAUCAUUCGCAUGUUUGAUUACAAAAGGCUUCGGCCGUUGAAGGAUGGAUUCGCGUCUGAUUAGUUUGUUGGUGAGGUAAUGGCUCACCAAGACUACGAUCAGUAGCCGGCCUGAGAGGGUGAUCGGCCACAUUGGGACUGAGAUACGGCCCAGACUCCUACGGGAGGCAGCAGUAGGGAAUAUUGCGCAAUGGAGGAAACUCUGACGCAGCAACGCCAUGUGUGGGAUGACGCAUCUAGGUGUGUAAACCACUGUCGGUAGGGAAUAAACUAUGACAUUUGUCAUACUGAAGGUACCUACAAUAGGAAGCACCGGCUAACUUCGUGCCAGCAGCCGCGGUAAUACGAGGGGUGCAAGUGUUGUUCGGAAUCACUGGGCGUAAAGGGAGCGUAGGCGGGAAAGAAAGUCAGAUGUUUAAUACCGGUGCCUAACAUCGGUGCUGCAUUUGAAACUUCUUUUCUUGAAUCUGUCAGAGGUAGAUGGAAUUCUUGGUGGAGCGGUGGAAUGCGUAGAUAUCAAGAGGAACACCAGUGGCGAAAGCGGUCUACUGGGGCAAGAUUGACGCUGAGGCUCGAAAGUAUGGGGAGCGAAUAGGAUUAGAUACCCUAGUAGUCCACACCGUAAACGAUGUUCACUAGGUGCCUGAUUAAAUUUGGGUGCCGCAGCUAACGCAUUAAGUGAACCGCCUGGGGAGUACGCUCGCAAGAGUGAAAUCUCAA
rnacentral:rRNA from 1 species